GACGAACGCUGGCGGCGUGCUUAACACAUGCAAGUCGAACGAUGAAGCGGCCAGCUUGCUGGUGGUGGAUUAGUGGCGAACGGGUGAGUAACACGUGAGCAAUCUGCCCUCCACAUCGGGAUACCCCCCGGAAACGGGAGCUAAUACCGGAUACGACCACUUCAGGCAUCUGAUGGUGGUGGAAAGUUCCGGCGGUGGAGGAUGAGCUCGCGGCCUAUCAGCUUGUUGGUGGGGUAACGGCCCACCAAGGCUUCGACGGGUAGCCGGCCUGAGAGGGUGACCGGCCACACUGGGACUGAGACACGGCCCAGACUCCUACGGGAGGCAGCAGUGGGGAAUAUUGGACAAUGGGCGAAAGCCUGAUCCAGCAACGCCGCGUGAGGGAUGACGGCCUUCGGGUUGUAAACCUCUUUCAGUAGGGACGAAGCGCAAGUGACGGUACCUACAGAAGAAGCACCGGCCAACUACGUGCCAGCAGCCGCAG
rnacentral:rRNA from 1 species